GUUCACCGCUUCAGUUGCUUCGGUUCCAGGAAGGAACGCUUCUGCGAUUCAAGUAGCAGGAACCCUGCAGGUUGAUUAUAGCCAAUCACUUUCAUUUCAAGUUUGUCUUUAAUUCUCCUAUAGUUUCUUUAACAUAGCAUCGUUAAUCAUGUCUCUCUUGCAAAUGUAAAUCUGAUUUUCGAAUCCUCCAUUGUCUGAUUUCCUUAUCUGUUUAUCAUAGUUUUAGCUCAGAAACUUGAAAAUCUGGAAUGGUUAUCUUUUACUUGAAUGGUUCAUGCAUAUUUCUGAUUUCUUUUUAAUUUCAUGUCCUUUCCUUGGAUUUUCGAUAUAAUUCUAAUGUUUAGUUAUUGUGCUUUUCUAAAACGCAAACAGAAUUGCUUAGUGAUUUGCUCUUUUAUGCCAGUUUAAUGGAAAUGGGUCGUUGAUGCUAGCUUCAGUUCGGUCAUUCUGUUGAAGAUUCUGUUUGAAUGAUGUAACUUAGUUAUGAGACAAUUUGGAUUAUAAUUAAUAAAUGCAUUUCUUAUACAGUGGCUUGUUUUAAAUCAAAAUGAAAGGAAAACAUUGCUAAAUCAUAUAUGAGAUUUGUUGAUUUCCAGGAGGUUAUGCAACAGAACGACCCGUUAGUAAUUAGGGAGUUACUUAUCAUGCAGGGAACAUGGGUUUGUGGACAUUACUGGAGGGCUGUCUUCUUCUUGCAAAUGCCCUAGCAAUAUUAAAUGAAGACCGGUUCCUUGCACCAAGAGGUUGGAGCUUCUCUGAGCUAUCCGGAGGUCGAACAAAGUCUUUCAAGGGGCAGCUUAUGGGGCUUAUUUAUGCAACCCAGUACAUGAGAGUUCCUCUUAUUAUACUGAAUGCCAUUUGCAUUGCUGUAAAGCUAGUGUCUGGAUGAUGCCACUGAGGUAAUAAAUGAUCAUAUGUUUGUGUUUAUUAUAUCUGCUUAAUAAUAGCUUAUGCUUUGUCUGAAUGGAUAUUAUGUCAAGUGUUAGUGGAACACAGAGAGGGUAACCCUUUCCCAUUUAAUGGGACUGGUUUGUUAAAUAUAAGAUGUUAAAUAUGGACAGAAACUAAGUUCUAUUAUUAGCAUGCUGUUGUUUGACAAAGAUUUAUGGUAGAUGAAAUGGUAAUUACUAGUUAGUGUUAAAUGCAAACUGCAAUUUAACUGCAUAAACAUAUAUCAAGAAUGUGGGAGUGGAUUAGGAGGCCUUCAAUAGGCUUGUCUCCUAGAUAAGGUCUCAUGCAGUAUCAACAGUGACAUCACAAAUGACACUAUGACAAGAAUCUUCUUCCAUCUCAAUCUUUUUCCCCCUGGGCCUGCCCCUGGAAGCUGGAACCCCCAAGUCGAGAAACUAAAGCCAGGGGGUUGCACCUUGUAAUUUAUGCUUGCAUGCGGCCAAGAUGGUGACUGAAUUCUAUGUCUCUAUCCUUCAUUCCUAGAUACUGAUAAUGAACUAGUUCAUGGGUUUCCUUUCCUCAUCCUGUAUUGGCUAAUCUUUAAGUGCCUUUGCUUCAAAGUUCAACCCUUAAAUAGGCUGAUUUCCUUUUUAAACAAGAGUGGACAAAUGCAUAUUUGUGUGUCAGAGAGCUUAUUCCCCUUAGUUUGAUCUAAUGUGCUCUUGCUUUUUUUUUUCCUACUAUAUUUUAACUUGCAUUGAAUGAAUGUAUGUUUCUUUGUUAUUAAAGAGAAGGGCAUUUGCAGUUUGAUGCUUGCUUGAUUUGCUGCACCUGCUGGAUUCAUUUAGUUGCUUCUGACUAUAGGAGUCUGCAAAAAGAAGAUUCUUUUGGAAAGGCGAAAGCAUAUAGAAAAUUCAAGAAAGAAGGCAGUUGAAAUUCUCGUUUGUGUGAUUAUUGAGUUUAAGAUUGUAUCCCUAGCUUUAAAAACAUGAUCAGUUGUGCAGAUGAGAAUAUUUUGUGUUUGGGAAAAUUUUAUAACAUGGUGUUUGUAUUCUUUUAGAAGUUUUACAAAUUGACCUAAAAUAUGAAAACUUUGCUGCGCCAUAACCUAAAUUUGUAUGUAUGCCAGCAUUCAGCGGAAGUAUAAUUUUUCUUGAUAAUUGCUACGUGUUGAAGUGAGGACGAUCCUUACUGAUGGCUGAAUGAGACACCACUUACUGCUUUUAAGACGUGGUCAUGUAGGCUUGUGGCUAACGCUGGACUUCACCUUUCUGAAUAUGUGUUAAUUCUGUUAGUGUUUGUCUUUGUGCAGUGAGCUUUCUGCGAUUGAAAAACCCAGCAUGUGUUGAACUUUGGCAAAGUUGUCAUUGGUGUUCUCUUCUUCAAUUAUUGCUAAUUAACUUUACUGGCUUUACUUGAGAAACACAAUGAUUCAACCAAGGUAUAAAUGUAUGAUGAUUGGUGUUGGACAUGGCUGCUACCACCUUUAUGUUCAAGCGGUUUUCUGUAUUUGCAGGUUGAAAGGGUUCAGGAUAACUAAUUUGUUAUUGGUAGGUAGAUUGUGGCGCUAGAUUUUCAAAACCAUUGCCAUGUUACUUGUUCAAAGUUUUUGGGUGAGGCUAUCUACAAAUGUAUUGUACAAUCCCCUGAGGACAGGCAGCAAGUCUCCUUCCCCUACCCCAACAAUUCAAACGUGGCUGACCCUACAAUUAGAUCAAUAUUAUAAUCAGGCAGGCUACCAACACAUCCUCCAUGGCAUCUCCUUUGCAUUUCCCCCAUAGUUAUUUAGUAGCCAACAUAUUUCAUCUGCAAUUUUUCUUGCUUAUUUGUAAUGAUAGCUGCAACCUACAAGGUAUCGGUCAAGCAGUUUACAUAAUUAUCAUAACAUUUGAGUGUUAAUGGGAUUGAAAUACAAGGAUCUAUAAAUUUAACAUCUA
rnacentral:misc_RNA from 1 species